ACUACGGGGGGCUGCAGUGGGGGAUAUUGCACAAUGGGGGAAACCCUGAUGCAGCGACGCCGCGUGGGUGAAGAAGCGCCUCGGCGCGUAAAGCCCUGUCAGCAGGGAAGAAAAUGACGGUACCUGAAGAAGAAGCCCCGGCUAACUACGUGCCAGCAGCCGCGGUAAUACGUAGGGGGCAAGCGGUAUCCGGAUGUACUGGGGGUAAAGGGGGCGCAGACGGCGAUGCAAGCCAGGAGUGAAAGCCCGGGGCCCAACCCCGGGACUGCUCUUGGAACUGCGUGGCUGGAGUGCAGGAGGGGCAGGCGGAAUUCCUGGUGUAGCGGUGAAAUGCGUAGAUAUCAGGAGGAACACCGGUGGCGAAGGCGGCCUGCUGGACUGCAACUGACGUUGAGGCCCGAAAGCGUGGGGAGCAAACAGGAUUAGAUACCCGUGUAGUC
rnacentral:rRNA from 1 species